rnacentral:rRNA from 1 species
GACGAACGCUGGCGGCGUGCCUAAUACAUGCAAGUCGAACGAACCGCGACUAGGUGCUUGCACUUGGUCAAGGUGAGUGGCGAACGGGUGAGUAACACGUGGGUAACCUACCUCAUAGUGGGGGAUAACAGUCGGAAACGACUGCUAAUACCGCAUAGGACAUAGGAUCACAUGAUUCUGUGAGGAAAGGUGGCGCAAGCUAUCGCUAAGAGAUGGACCCGCGGUGCAUUAGCUAGUUGGUAGGGUAAAGGCCUACCAAGGCGAUGAUGCAUAGCCGACCUGAGAGGGUGGUCGGCCACAUUGGGAAUGAGACACGGCCAAAACUCCUAGGGGAGGCAGAAGAAGGGAAUCUUCAGAAAGGGACGAAAGUAUGACGGAGAAACGCAGCGGGAGUGAAGAAGGUAUUGGGAUCGUAAAGAUCGGUUGUUAGAGAAGAACAGCGAAUAGAGUAACUGUUAUGCGUGUGACGGUAGCUAACCAGAAAGCCACGGAAAACUAAGUG